AAGCAUGAUUGGGGAAUCCAACUAGUAAACUCUUGAACCUCUUAUAAGUAUCACGAAGAGAUUCUACUUCUUUCUGUUUGUAACUUGAAAUCUCUUGUCUUUUUCU